UUUGGAAUACUGUUUGGCCAAUAGCUUAAACGUAUUUCUGGCUAACUCAUAUCUUAAAUUAACCCAUCUCCAUUAAUCUGUGUAUCGCCAUGAGGCUGUGGCUUACAGGGUAAAGUUCCUGCAUCUGUCUCCAGUGGGGCUACAUGGCUUCUCCUGACUCUGCCUUCUUUCUCCCAGCAUUCAGUUUAGUUUUCCCCGCCUACCUCUGUUCUGCCCUGCUAUAGGCCAAAGCAGUUUCUUUACUCAUUAACCAAUAAAAGCAACACAUAGAAGGACCUUCCACACCAGUCCCCCAUCUUCUUUUUGGUAACUAAUGCUUCUGACACAUAGAUACCCUCAAUUGUACCCAUGAAACGUGCUUCCUGCCAGCCUGCUGGCUGAUGUAUUUACACACAGCCAUUCUAAUGAGAGAACCAACAGUCAUUUGGGUCCCUGCCAUCAAUGCUACCCACUUCCACGUCAUUACCAUUAUGGCCCAAACUCAAUUAGAGGAGGUAAGUAGGACAGAGAAUUUGGGAUUAUGGCAGCUACCAUCAUGGCCAUUGUGCUGUGAGUGGGAGGGGCUGUGGCUGGAGUGGUAUCACUAACACAUACGGCCAGUCAACACCUUUAUCAGCUAUACAUAUAUUACAACAAACUGACCUCUGGGCUGAGGUACUGACAUUGGCGAGGGACAUGUCACUGCUAGCGUGUGACCCUAAAUAUCAGGUGUUUUGCUUCAACCACUACAAGGUUCCUAUACCUCCUUAGAAAGACUUCAACUGACACAAUACAUUAAGGUACCCAGUCGGAUAAGCUCCUUAGCUAUUCCAUAUUACUUUGGGAGCAAAUUCAUCGUUUAAAUAUAACUAGAGUCCCAGGACGUCCUUGGAAUCUGAUUGUUUGACUAAGGUUUGGAACAAUUUAAAAGGACUUUUGAUCCCUCCUGGAUCCUUACAUAUGCUCUGCUUGGCAGGGCGGUUCUGCUAAUUCUUCUCUUGUUAAAGUGUCUCCUACAGCAUAUUCAUCAACAAAAAGCGGCUAUCAAGGUGACCAUCUAGGUACCAACAGCUCUUUAUCCAGAACGAAGCCCUCCUGGAAAGGAGCAUGUGCAGGAAAUACUUCCUGAAAGUCAGCCUGCGUCUGCCUGAGGGCCCUGACGACAAAAACCGAGCCAUGGCGAGAGAUGACGUGGGCCAAGGAAAAGCAGCCCAGUCACAUCUGCAGAUGGCAGGACAACAGAUCCUUCCCCUGGCGGGGGGGAUAUAAGUAUCUUACCAGGUCCAAGAGGUACCGGACAGUUCCACAGAGCCUGGACAGCAGUGAAACAACCAGCCACCCCAGGAUGUGGUCAGCACCCCAGCUUUCUCAGGUCCCCAACAUGCAAAACCCCAGGUCAGCAGGAAGCAGUCUCGAGAACUCAGCAACCUCAUCCUGCCUCACCUGCUACCCCUUUCUAACUCCUCACGCUUUUUAUAAUAAACAAAGGGAGGACUGUUAGCAUUCAGGCAUCUGCACUGCCUGUCCUUGGGGACCUGGCAGGAUGUGCCCAUGCACUUGCCAGUAUCCAGGCAGUACUCUGGCCGGCUCAGGGUCCUGACUACUCCGUCUCUGUGCACUUGCCCGAUGCUCUGAUUUAAGAGACUGAUCCAAGUCAGGCAGUGGUGGUUUAUUCCUUUAAUCCCAGUGUAAGACUUUAAGACAAUCCUAAAGCCAUUUUUGAUAAUUCUGAAUCCUCUCAGCCUCUGUGCCAUAGUGCUUCCCCCUCCUCCCCUGGGAAUCAAGGACCUAACAGCUACACUCGCACGUACUCAGUUCCUGAACAAUUACCCAUAUACGUAUGCUUUGGUUCGGUCCCCUGGGAAAUGGGGUCAAAAUGACCUCUUACCUCAUCUGAUCUGGCAACAGCUCUCCAGUCAAUUAUUGAUAACAGCCCUUUCAAAUAAGCCAAUCAAAAUAGUCAAAGAACAACCCCCCUUGCUUCUGUGGCCCCUUUAAAAGUAGACUGUACCCGCUAUUCGAGGUCCCUUGGCUUCCCGAAUGCUGGGGGACCCUGUCAUGACAGAAUUAGUAAAAUCCUCAUGCUUUUGCAUCGGCUAUGAUAUAUAAGAUGGUCUCUGGGGGCGACUCCUCGGUGUUUGGACACUAGAGUCCAACACCAGCACUCAAGAGGCAGAGGCAGGGUGGAUCUCUGUGAGUUUGAGGUCAGCCUGGUCUACAUGAGCGAGUUCCAGGACAGGCUCUAAAUCCACACAGAGAAACCCUGUCUUGGAAAAAAAGAGAGAGACAAGCUCCGCCCGUACCCCCCUUUUCCACAGCUCCUCUGAAGAGGCAGGCAAGCUGGCCUUUGUGCUUCUCUCUCCCACUUUCCAUUCCCCUUUCCCAGUCUCCACGCUGAUGCCCUCGUCAGUCAUCUCGCGAGCAUUCACACCGUUUUUUUAAAUUAUAGCAUCACGGCUAGAUUGUCUUGAGUCUCAGAUGAUGUUUGGAAUUUUUAAACAAUUUUGGCUUUUAAAAAUGUUGGGGACUCUUUUUCUUAAAUGGAAACUUUUCAAAAUUAGAACAAAUGGUGGUGGUGGCGCACGCCUUUAAUCCCAGCACUUGGGAGGCAGAGGCAGGUGGAUCUCUGGUCUACAGAGUUCCAGGACAGCCAGGACGACUACACAGAGAAACCCUGUCUUGAAAAACGAAACAAAAUGAUUGGAACAAGUGAAGUUUACGUCAUGAGAUGGCCAUGGCCUGAGGUGUGUGCAAGAGCAGCAGGAAGUGCCUGCUGUAAAGUGUUCCCAUAGGCUCUUGUUGUUGAACGCUUGUUCCCUGGAUGGAGGUACUGUUUGGGAAGUGUAUAUUAUUAGUGACGGUAUAAAUGGUUUGGAAGUUUUUAGAAUUUGAACAUUAACAGUUUCCAAGGGACUCUCUCUUCCUACGUCUCUAGUUCCUUUUCCAGUAAUUGAGGUUGUAAGCUGGCCCUGGACGUGCUGGGAUAGGAUUACCAUCUGAAAGAUUAAACCAGGAGCCGGUAAAUUGGCACAAAGAGGUUAGGAUAGUUCCUUUUGCCAUAAAAGGGAUUUAUGGUGAGGCUCCUAGAGGUUUGUAGGGGGAGAGGAGAGAAAGGCAAAUGUGGUUAAUUGACUCUCAGCUGGGGAGGCGCUUCCUCUCCAUGGUACUAAAAUUUUCUCUCCUUCCAUCCAAGUACUACACAGGCUGACCUGGCCCAGCUUCUGAGGUCAGAUGAGUUCUGUCGGCCUGACCCCAGACUCCCCCUCUUUUUAUCCAGACUGAGUUACUGCCCCCUUCUAGAUGGAACGACUAUCCCUCGGUUGCUUGUAGAUGGACCCAUAUUGUGCCUGUUGUAUAGAGAAGGGUUUAGGGUUGCCUGGCCCUCUUCCUUGAACCGUGACUUGUUUCAUAUAAUCUAAUACCUUAUUAUUCUUUAUCCUUGGAGUUUGAGAACUUUACUGAGGGCUGAAGAGAGGGCUCAUCCGAUAAGCGGACUUGCUGCUCUUGCAGAGACCUGGAUUCCCAGCACCCAUGAUCCUCUUCUUGCUUCC